rnacentral:rRNA from 1 species
UACGGAGGGUGCAAGCGUUAUCCGGAUUUACUGGGCUUAAAGGGUGUGUAGGCGGGUCUUUAAGUUAGUGGUGAAAUCUCCGAGCUUAACUUGGAAACUGCCAUUGAUACUAUUGAUCUUGAAUUUUGUUGAGGUGGGCGGAAUAUGUCAUGUAGCGGUGAAAUGCAUAGAUAUGACAUAGAACACCAAUUGCGAAGGCAGCUCACUAAGCAAACAUUGACGCUGAGGCACGAAAGCGUGGGGAUCGAACAGG